CUGACCUCCAUUCCCAAACUAUGUCUCAGUGAUGAACUUGGUGAAGUACUGGCCUCUAGAAUCCCGCAAAUGUGGAUGCUUGAAGUUGCACUCAGGUUUAAACCCAACAACAUGGCUCCAGGUCUGACACUAAGACACUAAGGGGCAAGAAGGCCACCUUGACUGAACUGGAUGCUGCUGAUCAGUUCUCCUGAGGAAAGUAAUGGAUGGAUCAAAAACUAGCUCCAGGAGGAACAAGAAAACUAGGACUGCACUCCUGUAAAUAUAUGCCUCAAAGCUGGGUUGUCUGAUGCCUUCUGAAGUGUAAACACUGGCCAUCCCUCUCUUUGGGAUGUUCACCCAUGUGGAGUCCCUGAGGACAGAUGAGGAUCAAGUGCAGACUGAAGCUUCUGCCUCAUUACUUUUCCCCCUCUGUUUUACUCUCUCUUUACAGAAAACACAUGAAAGUAUUUUGCACUGCAACCUCUGCACAUUGGUUAAAACUGACAAGCAAUGACAAAGUAUCAGGACUCAGCAGUACAAACAGAACUCCCAGGGCCUGGCAUUUAUCACCUGAUGUGAAUGUUCCCUGCCUGUCUCCCUCCGCUUACAUGUGCAUAUGAAACAAGUGCAAACAUAUGGUAAGUGCCUCACUUAAUUUGAUGGCAGGUCUGUUUAUUAUUAUCUCCCUGAGCUGUGGUAAUUUUAGUUCAGUUGUUGAGCAAUUAUUAAACUAGAAGCCACAGAUCCCCUCCUAGGCUUCUUUGUGGGAUCUCCCAUAUUCUACCCCAAAGGUACAAUGUGUUCAAAAGUAAUGCACUGAUUGUGGAAAAGAUGUCAGGUGACACCUCUUAAAUUCUUGUGUAGGUCAAGAGUUGAAGCACUCACUGAGUUUAGACAGGAUCACUUUGUAAAUAUGUUCUUUAUACUUGAGUUUACAUGGCAGCUUAGGCUAAUAAGGGUCUUUCAGCAUAUGCAAAGUGAGAAGAAGGGAAGAAGGAUGGCCACAGGAAGACCAGACAAGGACUUAGCACAGUGAAAGAGAUAGGUCUGAUUCUGGGGGGUAUUACAGCAGAACACCUGCAAAGUAUAAUCUUUUUUCAUGUCGGGUUUCUGCAGAAAAGUUGCCUUAUUCUGCUACUUUGAGGUACACACAAUAGAAUGGUUUCUCCUCUUGGCCUCUUCUC